rnacentral:rRNA from 1 species
CUACGGGUGGCUCCAGUGGGGAAUAUUGGACAAUGGGCGAAAGCCUGAUCCAGCAAUGCCGCGUGAGUGAUGAAGGCCUUAGGGUUGUAAAGCUCUUUUACCAGGGAUGAUAAUGACAGUACCUGGAGAAUAAGCUCCGGCUAACUCCGUGCCAGCAGCCGCGGUAAUACGGAGGGAGCUAGCGUUGUUCGGAAUUACUGGGCGUAAAGCGUACGUAGGCGGUUAUUCAAGUCAGAGGUGAAAGCCUGGAGCUCAACUCCAGAACUGCCUUUGAAACUAGAUAGCUAGAAUCUUGGAGAGGUGAGUGGAAUUCCGAGUGUAGAGGUGAAAUUCGUAGAUAUUCGGAAGAACACCAGUGGCGAAGGCGACUCACUGGACAAGUAUUGACGCUGAGGUACGAAAGCGUGGGGAGCAAACAGGAUUAGAUACCCCCGUAGUC